AGUGAACGCUGGCGGUAGGCCUAACACAUGCAAGUCGAACGGCAGCACAGUAAGAGCUUGCUCUUACGGGUGGCGAGUGGCGGACGGGUGAGGAAUACAUCGGAAUCUACUUUUUCGUGGGGGAUAACGUAGGGAAACUUACGCUAAUACCGCAUACGACCUACGGGUGAAAGCAGGGGAUCUUCAUACCUUGCGCGAUUGAAUGAGCCGAUGUCGGAUUAGCUAGUUGGCGGGGUAAAGGCCCACCAAGGCGACGAUCCGUAGCUGGUCUGAGAGGAUGAUCAGCCACACUGGAACUGAGACACGGUCCAGACUCCUACGGGAGGCAGCAGUGGGGAAUAUUGGACAAUGGGCGCAAGCCUGAUCCAGCCAUACCGCGUGGGUGAAGAAGGCCUUCGGGUUGUAAAGCCCUUUUGUUGGGAAAGAAAAGCAGCAGGUUAAUACCCCGCUGUUCUGACGGUACCCAAAGAAUAAGCACCGGCUAACUUCGUG
rnacentral:rRNA from 1 species